UACGUAGGGUGCGAGCGUUGUCCGGAUUUAUUGGGCGUAAAGAGCUCGUAGGCGGCUUGUCGCGUCGGAUGUGAAAGCCCGGGGCUUAACUCCGGGUCUGCAUUCGAUACGGGCAGGCUAGAGUGUGGUAGGGGAGAUCGGAAUCCCUGGUGUAGCGGUGAAAUGCGCAGAUAUCAGGAGGAACACCGGUGGCGAAGGCGGAUCUCUGGGCCAUUACUGACGCUGAGGAGCGAAAGCGUGGGGAGCAAACAGG
rnacentral:rRNA from 1 species